rnacentral:rRNA from 1 species
UGGGGAAUAUUGGACAAUGGGGGCAACCCUGAUCCAGCCAUGCCGCGUGAGUGAUGAAGGCCUUCGGGUUGUAAAGCUCUUUUGGCGGGGACGAUGAUGACGGUACCCGCAGAAUAAGCCCCGGCUAACUUCGUGCCAGCAGCCGCGGUAAGACGAAGGGGGCUAGCGUUGUUCGGAAUUACUGGGCGUAAAGCGAGUGUAGGCGGUUGCCGUAGUCAGGUGUGAAAGCCUUAAGCUCAACUCAAGAAAUGCACUUGAUACUGGGUGACUAGAGGGCCGGAGAGGAUAGUGGAAUUCCCAGUGUAGUGGUGAAAUACGUAGAGAUUGGGAAGAACACCAGUGGCGAAGGCGGCUAUCUGGACGGUUACUGACGCUAAGACUCGAAAGCGUGGGGAGCAAAACAGGAUUAGAUACCCUGGUAGUCCACGCCGUAAACGAUGGGUGCUAGACGUUGGCGAGCUUGCUCGUCAGUGUCGCAGCUAACGCGUU